UUCUGGUUCAUAGUUCCACACUAAACUGGUGAGCCACACCAGCCAUCCUUAUGUUUUUAUAAUCCUAUUACAUAAAUAGUCUUGUUAUGGCAAUGCAUAAUAAUUGUGGUUAAGAAAAAAAUUCAGUUUGCUAUGAUCAUCAUAGAGCAUUUUAAGGCCAUUUUCAACAUUAAAUGCCAUAGCUGCAUUGUCCAAUAUAGUAACUAUUAGUCUUUAUGGCUCUUAAUCACUUGAAAUGUGUGCUUUUCUAUCAAAUAAAGAUGUGCUUUUAAUUAAAAUACACACUAAAUUUCAAAGACUUAGUAGGAAAUUAAGAAUAACUAACAAUUUAACAUUGAUCACAUGUAGAAAUGAUAAUAUAUUGGCUUAAAUAAAAUAUGUGAUUAUAUUUGUUAAUAAACUAUAAUUAACUAUAUUAACAAUUUUGCCUAUUUUUUACUUUUUAAAAUAUAUCUACUAGAAACUUUAAAAUUACAUAUGUAAUUUACAUUUGUGAGUCACAUAUUUUUAUUGGACAGUGCUUUACUAGAGAAUAAGAUAACCAGCUAGCUGUACAUAGGUGUCCUCCAUACUUUGUUCAUUAGAUUUAGGAAGUGGCUUGUCACAAAGUGAACAUAACCUACCUUAUAGUGCUUUCAGUUGCUUCCAGUUUUCUGACUUGAUUCUCAGGAAUUUGGAGACAUGGUACAGUACUUUCUGAGCAAUUCCUUGCUGAGGAAUUUCUUUUCCCUGCUGGUUUGACAUUAAACAGAUUUGUGAAUCUUUAGAAGGUAUAGGGAUGGCUUACAGUAGUCAAAGCUGUUCUCGGCACUAUGGUCACUCCAGUCCUGGCAUGUCAUGAAGCCCACUGUACUGGCCUCCUGGCUCAAAGAUGUCACCAUGGAGACGUCUGACUGCGAUUGUGACCCGCUGCAGAUGGUGGCAGAGUAGAAGGAUGCUCCCAGACACAAGACAGAAUUACAGUUGAAAUAUAGAAAGGCUUCCUGAAUAAUCAAUGGAAAACUCAUAGGAGAGAACCCUGCUACCCAAGGUCUGAAGGUGGAGACUGCAUAGAGACUGGUAGGAGGGCUGGAGGCACCAAA